rnacentral:tRNA from 1 species
CCUUCGAUAGCUCAGCUGGUAGAGCGGUAGACUGGGCAUCCUUAGGUCGCUGGUUCGAUUCCGGCUCGAAGGA